GACUCCUGCGGCGGGGGCCCGUGGGGACUCCUACGGGAGGCAGCAGUGGGGAAUAUUGCACAAUGGACGAAAGUCUGAUGCAGCAACGCCGCGUGGAGGAUGACACAUUUCGGUGCGUAAACUCCUUUUAUAUAGGAAG
rnacentral:rRNA from 1 species